rnacentral:rRNA from 1 species
AGAGUUUGAUCCUGGCUCAGAUUGAACGCUGGCGGCAGGCUUAACACAUGCAAGUCGAGCGGAAACGAAGGUAGCUUGCUACCAGACGUCGAGCGGCGGACGGGUGAGUAAUGCUUAGGAAUCUACCGAGUAGUGGGGGAUAGCCAUUGGAAACGAUGAUUAAUACCGCAUAUAUCCUACGGGGGAAAGCAGGGGACCUUCGGGCCUUGCGCUAUUCGAUGAGCCUGAGUGAGAUUAGCUAGUUGGUGGGGUAAAGGCCUACCAAGGCGACGAUCUCUAGCUGGUCUGAGAGGAUGAUCAGCCACACUGGGACUGAGACACGGCCCAGACUCCUACGGGAGGCAGCAGUGGGGAAUAUUGCACAAUGGACGAAAGUCUGAUGCAGCCAUGCCGCGUGUGUGAAGAAGGCCUUCGGGUUGUAAAGCACUUUCAGCGAGGAGGAAAGGUCAGUAAGUAAUAUUUGCUGGCUGUGACGUUACUCGCAGAAGAAGCACCGGCUAAUUUAGUGCCAGCAGCCGCGGUAAUACUAAAGGUGCAAGCGUUAAUCGGAAUUACUGGGCGUAAAGCGCGCGUAGGUGGUUUGUUAAGUUGGAUGUGAAAGCCCAGGGCUCAACCUUGGAACUGCAUUCAAAACUGACUCACUAGAGUACGAGAGAGGUUAGUGGAAUUUCCUGUGUAGCGGUGAAAUGCGUAGAGAUGGGAAGGAACACCAGUGGCGAAGCGACUGACUGGCUCGAUACUGACACUGAG